GACGAACGCUGGCGGCGUGCUUAACACAUGCAAGUCGAACGGAAAGGCCCUGCUUUUGUGGGGUGCUCGAGUGGCGAACGGGUGAGUAACACGUGAGUAACCUGCCCUUGACUUUGGGAUAACUUCAGGAAACUGGGGCUAAUACCGGAUAGGAGCUCCUGCUGCAUGGUGGGGGUUGGAAAGUUUCGGCGGUUGGGGGUGGACUCGCGGCUUAUCAGCUUGUUGGUGGGGUAGUGGCCUACCAAGGCUUUGACGGGUAGCCGGCCUGAGAGGGUGACCGGCCACAUUGGGACUGAGAUACGGCCCAGACUCCUACGGGAGGCAGCAGUGGGGAAUAUUGCACAAUGGGCGGAAGCCUGAUGCAGCAACGCCGCGUGCGGGAUGACGGCCUUCGGGUGGUAAACCGCUUUCGCCUGUGACGAAGCGUGAGUGACGGUAAUGGGUAAAGAAGCACCGGCUAACUACGU
rnacentral:rRNA from 1 species